rnacentral:rRNA from 1 species
GACGAACGCUGGCGGCGUGCUUAACACAUGCAAGUCGAACGGAAAGGCCCUGCUUUUGUGGGGUGCUCGAGUGGCGAACGGGUGAGUAACACGUGAGUAACCUGCCCUUGACUUUGGGAUAACUUCAGGAAACUGGGGCUAAUACCGGAUAGGAUCUCCUGCUGCAUGGUGGGGGUUGGAAAGUUUCGGCGGUUGGGGAUGGACUCGCGGCUUAUCAGCUUUUUUGUGGGGUAGUGGCUUACCAAGGCUUUGACGGGUAGCCGGCCUGAGAGGGUGACCGGCCAAAAUGGGACUGAGAUACGGACCAGACUACUACGGGAGGCAGCAGUGGGGAAUAGUGCACAAUGGGCGGAAGCCUGAUGCAGCAACGCCGCGUGCGGGAUGACGGCCUUCGGGUUGUAAACCGCUUUCGCCUGUGACGAAGCGUGAGUGACGGUAAUGGGUAAAGAAGCACCGGCUAACUACGUG